GGGGGUUACAGCUCAAUGGUAGAGCGCAUGCUUGGCAUGCACGAGGUCCUGGGUUCACUCCCCAGAGCCUCUG
rnacentral:tRNA from 1 species